rnacentral:rRNA from 1 species
GACGAACGCUGGCGGCGUGCUUAACACAUGCAAGUCGAACGGAAAGGCCCUGCUUUUGUGGGGUGCUCGAGUGGCGAACGGGUGAGUAACACGUGAGUAACCUGCCCUUGACUUUGGGAUAACUUCAGGAAACUGGGGCUAAUACCGGAUAGGAGCUCCUGCUGCAUGGUGGGGGUUGGAAAGUUUCGGCGGUUGGGGAUGGACUCGCGGCUUAUCAGCUUGUUGGUGGGGUAGUGGCUUACCAAGGCUUUGACGGGUAGCCGGCCUGAGAGGGUGACCGGCCACAGUGGGACUGAGAUCAGGACCAGACUCCUACGGGAGGCAGCAGUGGGGAAUAUUGCACAAUGGGCGGAAGCCUGAUGCAGCAACGCCGCGUGCGGGAUGACGGCCUUCGGGUUGUAAACCGCUUUCGCCUGUGACGAAGCGUGAGUGACGGUAAUGGGUAAAGAAGCACCGGCUAACUACGUG